GUAGGUGGCAAGCGUUGUCCGGAAUUAUUGGGCGUAAAGCGCGCGCAGGCGGUUCUUUAAGUCUGAUGUGAAAGCCCACGGCUCAACCGUGGAGGGUCAUUGGAAACUGGAGAACUUGAGUACAGAAGAGGAAAGCGGAAUUCCACGUGUAGCGGUGAAAUGCGUAGAGAUGUGGAGGAACACCAGUGGCGAAGGCGGCUUUCUGGUCUGUAACUGACGCUGAGGCGCGAAAGCGUGGGGAGCAAACAGGGAUUAGAUACCCUGGUAGUCCACGCCGUAAACGAUGAGUGCUAAGUGUUAGGGGGGUUUCCGCCCCCUUAGUGCUGCAGCUAACGCAUUGAGCACUCCGCCUGGGAGUACGGCCGCAAGGCUG
rnacentral:rRNA from 1 species